UUGGUUGCAUGAUCGGGCAAGGAAAUAUUUAUAGCUGUAAGAUAGGCAUGCGUCCCAUUAGCUGGUUGGUGAGGUAACGGCUCACCAAGGCUACGAUGGGUAGGGGAACUGAGAGGUUUAUCCCCCACACUGGUACUGAGACACGGACCAGACUCCUACGGGAGGCAGCAGUGAGGAAUAUUGGUCAAUGGGCGAGAGCCUGAACCAGCCAAGUCGCGUGAAGGAAGACUGUCCUAAGGAUUGUAAACUUCUUUUAUACGGGAAUAACGGGCGAUACGUGUAUUGCUGUGAAUGUACCGUAAGAAUAA
rnacentral:rRNA from 1 species